CACUCUAUGCGGUGGAUCUUUCGGCCCGUGGGUUGAUGACGGACUCGUCAGAAUGCGAGACGUGAUAUGAAUUUCCAGACUUUGCCAACGUUAGAGUUCUCGAACGCAGACAGACACCAUUGAAAGUUUUAGCAGUCGUAUUUUUUAAUGCAUGACG
rnacentral:rRNA from 1 species